GGGAUAACACUUGGAAACAGGUGCAAAUACCGUAUAGCACUAUUUUCCGCAUGGAAGAAAGUUGAAAGGCGCUUUUGCGUCACUGAUGGAUGGACCCGCGGUGCAUUAGCUAGUUGGUGAGGUAACGGCUCACCAAGGCCACGAUGCAUAGCCGACCUGAGAGGGUGAUCGGCCACACUGGGACUGAGACACGGCCCAGACUCCUACGGGAGGCAGCAGUAGGGAAUCUUCGGCAAUGGACGAAAGUCUGACCGAGCAACGCCGCGUGAGUGAAGAAGGUUUUCGGAUCGUAAAACUCUGUUGUUAGAGAAGAACAAGGAUGAGAGUAAAAUGUUCAUCCCUUGACGGUAUCUAACCAGAAAGCCACGGCUAACUACGUGCCAGCAGCCACGGUAAUACGUAGGUGGCAAGCGUUGUCCGGAUUUAUUGGGCGUAAAGCGAGCGCAGGCGGUUUCUUAAGUCUGAUGUGAAAGCCCCCGGCUCAACCGGGGAGGGUCAUUGGAAACUGGGAGACUUGAGUGCAGAAGAGGAGAGUGGAAUUCCAUGUGUAGCGGUGAAAUGCGUAGAUAUAUGGAGGAACACCAGUGGCGAAGGCGGCUCUCUGGUCUGUAACUGACGCUGAGGCUCGAAAGCGUGGGGAGCGAACAGGAUUAGAUACCCUGGUAGUCCACGCCGUAAACGAUGAGUACUAAGUGUUGGAGGGUUUCCGCCCUUCAGUGCUGCAGCA
rnacentral:rRNA from 1 species